rnacentral:rRNA from 1 species
GUGGGGAAUAUUCCGCAAUGGACGAAAGUCUGACGGAGCAACGCCGCGUGAGUGAUGAAGGUUUUCGGACUGUAAAGCUCUGUUGUUUGGGACGAAAGUGCCUGUUGCGAACAGUUACGGGUAUUGACGGUACUAAACGAGGAAGCCACGGCUAACUACGUGCCAGCAGCCGCGGUAAUACGUAGGUGGCAAGCGUUGUCCGGAAUUAUUGGGCGUAAAGAGCAUGUAGGCGGGAAUCUAAGUCUGUUGUGAAAAUGCGGGGCUCAACCCCGUAUGGCGAUGGAAACUGGAUUUCUUGAGUGCAGGAGAGGAAAGGGGAAUUCCCAGUGUAGCGGUGAAAUGCGUAGAUAUUGGGAGGAACACCAGUGGCGAAGGCGCCUUUCUGGACUGUGUCUGACGCUGAGAUGCGAAAGCCAGGGUAGCGAACGGGAUUAGAUACCCGUGUAGUCC